rnacentral:rRNA from 1 species
ACGGGUGAGUAAUGCAUCGGGACCUACCCAGACGUGGGGGAUAACCUCGGGAAACCGGGACUAAUACCGCAUACGUCCUACGGGAGAAAGCGGGGGACCUUCGGGCCUCGCGCGGUUGGACGGACCGAUGUGCGAUUAGCUAGUUGGUAGGGUAAUGGCCUACCAAGGCGACGAUCGCUAGCUGGUCUGAGAGGAUGAUCAGCCACACUGGGACUGAGACACGGCCCAGACUCCUACGGGAGGCAGCAGUGGGGAAUAUUGGACAAUGGGCGAAAGCCUGAUCCAGCAAUGCCGCGUGUGUGAAGAAGGCCUUCGGGUUGUAAAGCACUUUUAUCAGGAGCGAAAUACUAUCGGUUAAUAACCGGUGGGGCUGACGGUACCUGAGGAAUAAGCACCGGCUAACUUCGUGCCAGCAGCCGCGGUAAUACGAAGGGUGCAAGCGUUAAUCGGAAUUACUGGGCGUAAAGGGUGCGUAGGCGGUUGUUUAAGUCUGUCGUGAAAUCCCCGGGCUCAACCUGGGAAUGGCGAUGGAUACUGGGCAGCUAGAGUGUGUCAGAGGAUGGUGGAAUUCCCGGUGUAGC